rnacentral:rRNA from 1 species
AUUGAACGCUGGCGGCAUGCUUUACACAUGCAAGUCGAACGGUAGAGGGGGCAACCCCUUGAGAGUGGCGAACGGGUGAGUAAUGCAUCGGAACGUGCCCAGUCGUGGGGGAUAGCCCGGGGAAACCCGGAUUAAUACCGCAUACGACCUGAGGGUGAAAGCGGGGGACCGAAAGGCCUCGCGCGAUUGGAGCGGCCGAUGUCGGAUUAGGUAGUUGGUGGGGUAAAGGCCUACCAAGCCUGCGAUCCGUAGCUGGUCUGAGAGGACGACCAGCCACACUGGGACUGAGACACGGCCAGACUCCUACGGGAGGCAGCAGUGGGGAAUUUUGGACAAUGGGCGAAAGCCUGAUCCAGCCAUUCCGCGUGCAGGAUGAAGGCCCUCGGGUUGUAAACUGCUUUUGUACAGAACGAAAAGGUUUCUACUAAUACUAGGAGCUCAUGACGGUACUGUAAGAAUAAGCACCGGCUAACUACGUGCCAGCCGCCGCGGUAA